rnacentral:rRNA from 1 species
AGGGAAUCUUCCACAAUGGACGCAAGUCUGAUGGAGCAACGCCGCGUGAGUGAAGAAGGUCUUCGGAUCGUAAAGCUCUGUUGUUGGUGAAGAAGGAUAGAGGCAGUAACUGGUCUUUAUUUGACGGUAAUCAACCAGAAAGUCACGGCUAACUACGUGCCAGCAGCCGCGGUAAUACGUAGGUGGCAAGCGUUGUCCGGAUUUAUUGGGCGUAAAGCGAGCGCAGGCGGAAUGAUAAGUCUGAUGUGAAAGCCCACGGCUCAACCGUGGAACUGCAUCGGAAACUGUCAUUCUUGAGUGCAGAAGAGGAGAGUGGAACUCCAUGUGUAGCGGUGGAAUGCGUAGAUAUAUGGAAGAACACCAGUGGCGAAGGCGGCUCUCUGGUCUGCAACUGACGCUGAGGCUCGAAAGCAUGGGUAGCGAACAGGAUUAGAUACCCUGGUAGUCCAUGCCGUAAACGA